CUUCACACAACAGCACAACCGCUGCGGCUGUGUUUGCGACCUGACCUUUCUUUAUCCCGUGAGAGGGAAGAAUUUAGAAAGUUGCGUGGCGCUGCGGAGAGCCACCAACUGCAGUAGUGCACGGAUCAUGGAAUAUUCAACCAGCCAGAGGCAACGAUCACGAACUGUUCACAGACGAAACUCUAAUGUGAUAAUAAGUGGAGUUACCUGUGCUGGAGAGCGCCCAGAUGAGAGUCAGAGAAAGGAUCAGCUUCAUCAUGAUGAUCAGAUACCAGAUGAAUAACGGCAGGCUGUGUGGUUUAUUGGAGAGAGAACCUCCAUGAAGUCCGAGUUCCAGUUGGUGAGUGAAAUUCUUGUAUUUUAUAUAUGUGUAAACAAUAUUUAACAGGUAUCGCUGUCGACAUAUAGCUUGUUAACUUAGCUUGUUACGCUAAUCAGCCAGAUAUGAGCAGCCCCAAGCUGCUAAUGAUGCUAAGUUAACGGGAGUUAGUGUUUUCUAACCGCAGCUUUUAAGGAGUGAAAG